AGAGUUUGAUUCUGGCUCAGGAUGAACGCUAGCUACAGGCUUAACACAUGCAAGUCGAGGGGCAGCAUGAUCGAAGCUUGCUUUGAUUGAUGGCGACCGGCGCACGGGUGAGUAACGCGUAUCCAACCUUCCCUGUAGUAGAGAAUAGCCCGGCGAAAGUCGGAUUAAUGCUCUAUGUUGUAUUUCGAUGACAUCUGAGGAAUACCAAAGGUUUUACCGCUAUAGGAUGGGGAUGCGUCUGAUUAGGUUGUUGGCGGGGUAACGGCCCACCAAGCCUACGAUCAGUAGGGGUUCUGAGAGGAAGGUCCCCCACAUUGGAACUGAGACACGGUCCAAACUCCUACGGGAGGCAGCAGUGAGGAAUAUUGGUCAAUGGACGGAAGUCCGAACCAGCCAAGUAGCCGUGCAGGAUGACGGCCCUAUGGGUUGUAAACUGCUUUUAUAUAGGGAUAAAGUCGGGGACGUGUCCCCGUUUGUAGGUACUAUAUGAAUAAGGACCGGCUAAUUCCGUGCCAGCCGCAGC
rnacentral:rRNA from 1 species